UUUUCUUUUCUUUCUUUUUUUAUUUUUUUUCUUUUCAAUUCUUUUUUAUCGCGUAUUUUUUUGAAAAUAAACAUGCUAUGAUGCAAAUGAUGCAGACAAGACUGGCUGGCUGUGCAUCUCAGAACACGGGAUCGAAGCUUCGGUUUAAACUUAGAACCCUAAUUCAUCUCAAACCCAAAGUCAACUGAGAAACUGUCAUCUGAACCCAAAGUCACCAACAGGACCACAAGUCAC
rnacentral:lncRNA from 1 species